rnacentral:lncRNA from 1 species
UUGGAACAAAAUCAAAACAUCUUCAUUUUGAAAUUCCAUUGGACUCGACUGGAGUAAUGUAUUAUAGGAAUCAUCCUCUUUCAAUCAAAGAGCUAUUUCAACGAUUCCCAUGUUUGUAGUUCGAAAGGAAGAGGAUCCCAGGAAAUUUAUUCGAAGCCAAUUCUUCCUAAAUUUUCUAUUCCAAUCAAUGGCCUCUUCCUAGGUGAUACUGAGGAGGGCCGGACCCUUUUUUUAUUU